GGACUUUUUUUUUGGCGGAAUCUAUCGUCAACAUCGUCCAUCCACUACGUAAACGAAAUGGCGUGCCCAGAGUACACAUCGUGACAGCGCUCCGCCUUCAAACCGAGGGCCUUUUGCAAGGCGCAUGGACGGCUCAUAUAAAAGUUAGUCAGCAUGAAGCAAUUGCAUGGGAACCGGCCGAUUGUCUUGGGCCUACACAUUGCUCAAAAGACAGUGAAGGUGUCUGAGCCCACAGGUAGAAAACAAGCAGAUGGCUACAGCGAUCAAUGAAGAAAUGGCUUCAUCUAUGAUGGCUCGCCUUAGGACAUUGGAAUGGAGCUACACAAAGGCAUCACCAGCCUCGCCUGUGCCCUGGAACAUUGGUUUGAAUAAGACUGUUCUUCAGUGUAGAACGACCACAAGACUUGUCACCACAUACAAGGCGUAGUGCAAGCUCUAAAUAUUGUACAGGUGGCUAGAAUAAAUGACCCUCCAUGCAGUCA
rnacentral:lncRNA from 1 species